rnacentral:rRNA from 1 species
CGCCACAGCCAUAUCACCCUGCAGCCUGCAGUUACUCACUGAAGCUAAGCAGGGCUGAGCCUGGCCAGUACCUGGAUGGGAGACCACUAGGGAACACUAGGUUGCUGUUGGAA